AACGAACGCUGGCGGCAUGCCUAACACAUGCAAGUCGAACGGGAUCCUGGUUUCGGCCAGGUGAGAGUGGCGGACGGGUGAGUAACGCGUGGGAACCUGCCCAGUGGUGGGGGAUAACUGCGGGAAACUGCAGCUAAUACCGCAUGAGCCCGAAAGGGGAAAGAUUGAUCGCCAUUGGAGGGGCCCGCGUUCGAUUAGGUAGUUGGUGAGGUAACGGCUCACCAAGCCUUCGAUCGAUAGCUGGUCUGAGAGGAUGAUCAGCCACACUGGGACUGAGAUACGGCCCAGACUCCUACGGGAGGCAGCAGGUGGGGAAUAUUGGACAAGUGGGGGCAACCCUGAUCCAGCAAUGCCGCGUGAGUGAUGAA
rnacentral:rRNA from 1 species